rnacentral:rRNA from 1 species
UACGUAGGGAGCAAGCGUUGUUCGGAUUUACUGGGCGUAAAGGGCGCGUAGGCGGCAAUUCAAGUCAUCUGUGAAAUCUCCGGGCUUAACUCGGAACGGUCAGAUGAUACUGCUUUGCUAGAGUGCGGAAGGGGCAAUCGGAAUUCUCGGUGUAGCGGUGAAAUGCGUAGAUAUCGAGAGGAACACCUGAGGUGAAGACGGGUUGCUGGGCCGACACUGACGCUGACAGCGCGAAAGCCAGGGG